rnacentral:snRNA from 1 species
GUCCUACCACUAACUCCGUUCAGU